rnacentral:rRNA from 1 species
UACGUAGGGCGCAAGCGUUGUCCGGAAUUAUUGGGCGUAAAGAGCUCGUAGGCGGUUCGUCGCGUCGGCUGUGAAAACCCGGAGCUCAACUCCGGGCCUGCAGUCGAUACGGGCGGACUUGAGUGUUGCAGGGGAGACUGGAAUUCCUGGUGUAGCGGUGAAAUGCGCAGAUAUCAGGAGGAACACCGGUAGCGAAGGCGGGUCUCUGGGCCUUACCUGACACUGAGGAGCGAAAGCGUGGGGAGCGAACAGG